AGAGUUUGAUCAUGGCUCAGGACGAACGCUGGCGGCGCGCCUAACACAUGCAAGUCGAACGAGAGAGAGGGAGCUUGCUUCCUUGAUCGAGUGGCGAACGGGUGAGUAACGCGUGAGGAACCUGCCUCAAAGAGGGGGACAACAGUUGGAAACGACUGCUAAUACCGCAUAAGCCCACGGUGCCGCAUGGCACAGAGGGAAAAGGAGCAAUCCGCUUUGAGAUGGCCUCGCGUCCGAUUAGCUAGUUGGUGAGGUAACGGCCCACCAAGGCGACGAUCGGUAGCCGGACUGAGAGGUUGAACGGCCACAUUGGGACUGAGACACGGCCCAGACUCCUACGGGAGGCAGCAGUGGGGAAUAUUGCACAAUGGGGGAAACCCUGAUGCAGCGACGCCGCGUGGAGGAAGAAGGUCUUCGGAUUGUAAACUCCUGUUGUUGAGGAAGAUAAUGACGGUACUCAACAAGGAAGUGACGGCUAACUACGUGCCAGCAGCCGCGGUAAAACGUAGGUCACAAGCGUUGUCCGGAAUUACUGGGUGUAAAGGGAGCGCAGGCGGGCGAUCAAGUUGGAAGUGAAAUCCAUGGGCUCAACCCAUGAACUGCUUUCAAAACUGGUCGUCUUGAGUAGUGCAGAGGUAGGCGGAAUUCCCGGUGUAGCGGUGGAAUGCGUAGAUAUCGGGAGGAACACCAGUGGCGAAGGCGGCCUACUGGGCACCAACUGACGCUGAGGCUCGAAAGUGUGGGUAGCAAACAGGAUUAGAUACCCUGGUAGUCCACACCGUAAACGAUGAUUACUAGGUGUUGGGAGAUUGACCCUCUCAGUGCCGCAGUUAACACAAUAAGUAAUCCACCUGGGGAGUACGACCGCAAGGUUGAAACUCAAAGGAAUUGACGGGGACCCGCACGAGUAGCGGAGCAUGUGGUUUAAUUCGAAGCAACGCGAAGAACCUUACCUAAGCUUGACAUCCUUUUGACCGAUGCCUAAUCGCAUCUUUCCCUUCGGGGACAGAAGCGACAGGUGGUGCAUGGUUGUCGUCAGCUCGUGUCGUGAGAUGUUGGGUUAAGUCCCGCAACGAGCGCAACCCUUGCCUUUAGUUGCCAUCAUUAAGUUGGGCACUCUAGAGGGACUGCCAGAGAUAACCUGGAGGAAGGUGGGGAUGACGUCAAAUCAUCAUGCCCCUUAUGCUUAGGGCUACACACGUGCUACAAUGGGUGGUACAGAGGGCAGCGAAGUCGUGAGGCCAAGCUAAUCCCUUAAAGCCAUUCUCAGUUCGGAUUGUAGGCUGAAACUCGCCUACAUGAAGCUGGAGUUACUAGUAAUCGCAGAUCAGAAUGCUGCGGUGAAUGCGUUCCCGGGUCUUGUACACACCGCCCGUCACACCAUGGGAGUUGGGGGCGCCCGAAGCCGGCUAGCUAACCUUUUAGGAAGCGGUCGUCGAAGGUGAAACCAAUAACUGGGGUGAAGUCGUAACAAGGUA
rnacentral:rRNA from 1 species